AAUCAACGCUGGCGGCGUGCCUAACACAUGCAAGUCGAGCGCGAAAGGGGGCUUCGGCCCCUGAGUAGAGCGGCGGACGGGUGAGUAACACGUGGGUAACCUAUCCUCGGGCGGGGAAUAACUUCGGGAAACCGGAGCUAAUUCCGCAUAACAUUACGGGUUCAUAAGAGUCCGUAAUCAAAGCUGGGGACCCUUCGGGGCCUGGCACCUGAGGCGGGCCCGCGGCCGAUUAGCUUGUUGGUGAGGUAAUGGCUCACCAAGGCUACGAUCGGUAGCCGGCCUGAGAGGGCGGACGGCCACACUGGGACUGAGACACGGCCCAGACUCCUACGGGAGGCAGCAGUGGGGAAUUUUUGGCAAUGGGGGAAACCCUGACCAAGCAACGCCGCGUGGAGGAUGAAGGCUUUCGGGUCGUAAACUCCUGUCGGAGGGGACGAAAGUGGCUGAAGUUAAUAACUUCAGUCGUUGACGGUACCCUAUGAGGAAGCCCCGGCUAACUCCGUG
rnacentral:rRNA from 1 species